UACGGGGGGGGCAAGCGUUGUUCGGAAUUACUGGGCGUAAAGGGCUCGUAGGCGGCCAACUAAGUCAGACGUGAAAUCCCCAGGCUUAACCUGGGAACUGCAUCCGAUACUGGUCGGCUUGAAUCCGGGAGAGGGAUGCAGAAUUCCAGGUGUAGCGGUGAAAUGCGUAGAUAUCUGGAGGAAUACCGGUGGCGAAGGCGGCAUCCUGGACCGGCAUUGACGCUGAACAGCGAAAGCUAGGGGAGCAAACGGG
rnacentral:rRNA from 1 species